ACCCAGCUGACGAGUCCCAAAUGGAACGAAACGCAAGUCCUGGAU
rfam:Schistosoma curassoni strain Dakar, Senegal genome assembly, scaffold: SCTD_contig0000316